rnacentral:rRNA from 1 species
GAUGAACGCUGGCGGCGUGCCUAAUACAUGCAAGUCGAGCGAACAGACGAGGAGCUUGCUCCUCUGACGUUAGCGGCGGACGGGUGAGUAACACGUGGAUAACCUACCUAUAAGACUGGGAUAACUUCGGGAAACCGGAGCUAAUACCGGAUAAUAUAUUGAACCGCAUGGUUCAAUAGUGAAAGACGGUUUUGCUGUCACUUAUAGAUGGAUCCGCGCCGCAUUAGCUAGUUGGUAAGGUAACGGCUUACCAAGGCAACGAUGCGUAGCCGACCUGAGAGGGUGAUAGGCCACACUGGAACUGAGACACGGUCCAGACGACUACGGGAGGCAGCAGUAGGGAAUCUUCCGCAAUGGGCGAAAGCCUGACGGAGCAACGCCGCGUGAGUGAUGAAGGUCUUCGGAUCGUAAAACUCUGUUAUUAGGGAAGAACAAAUGUGUAAGUAACUAUGCACGUCUUGACGGUACCUAAUCAGAAAGCCACGGCUAACUACGUG